AACGAACGCUGGCGGCAGGCCUAACACAUGCAAGUCGAGCGCGUGUAGCAAUACACGAGCGGCGUACGGGUGAGUAUAACGUGGGAACCUGCCCUUCGGUACGGAACAACCCAGGGAAACUUGGGCUAAUACCGGUAUGUGUUCUCCGGGUGUGGUGCUCGGGGAAGAAAGAUUUAUCGCCGAAGGAGGGGCCCACGCCGGAUUAGGUAGUUGGUGGGGUAAUGGCCUACCAAGCCUACGAUCCGUAGCNGGUCUGAGAGGAUGAUCAGCCACACUGGACUGAGACACGGCCCAGACUCCUACGGGAGGCAGCAGUGGGGAAUAUUGGACAAUGGGGGCAACCCUGAUCCAGCC
rnacentral:rRNA from 1 species